rnacentral:lncRNA from 1 species
CUCUUACCAUGCAGAGCCCAAGCUGGUUUCCAACUAUGCCUCUUCCAGCAGGACAGAACUCGCCUUGCCAAGGUGUCGGGACAAGGCGGGGGUCAGGGAGCAUGUUCUCACCAGACAUGGAGCCUUGCUAUGUUGCCCAGGCUGGUCUUGAACUCCUGGAGUCAAGUGAUCCUCCCUUCUUGGCCUCCCAAAGCACUGGGAUUACAGAUGUGAGCCACUACGCCCAGCCUCAGACUUAAUUCUUGUUUUGUAGCAUGCAGUAUGUGUGUGUGUGCAUGUGUGCAUGUGCAUUUGCGUGUGCAUGUGUGUGAAUCUGUGUGUGUGCAUGUGUGAGCGUGCAUGUGAAUCUGUGUGUGUGCAUUGUGCAUUUGUGUGUGAAUCUGUGUGUGUGCAUGUGUGCAUGCGUGUGUGUGUGUGAAUCUCUGUGUGUCUGCGUGCACCUGUGUGUGUGAAUCUGUGUGUGUGCAUGUGUACGUGCAUAUGUGUGUGUGAAUGUAUGUCUGUGUGUGCCUGUGUGUGUGUGUGUUAGAGUUUCCCCCU